UGGGGAAUUUUGGACAAUGGGGGCAACCCUGAUCCAGCAAUGCCGCGUGUGUGAAGAAGGCCUUCGGGUUGUAAAGCACUUUUGUCCGGAAAGAAAACGCCGUGGUUUAAUACCCGUGGCGGAUGACGGUACCGGAAGAAUAAGCACCGGCUAACUACGUGCCAGCAGCCGCGGUAAUACGUAGGGUGCAAGCGUUAAUCGGAAUUACUGGGCGUAAGCGUGCGCAGGCGGUCCGCUAAGACAGAUGUGAAAUCCCCGGGCUUAACCUGGGAACUGCAUUUGUGACUGGCGGGCUAGAGUAUGGCAGAGGGGGGUAGAAUUCCACGUGUAGCAGUGAAAUGCGUAGAGAUGUGGAGGAAUACCGAUGCGAAGGCAGCCCCCUGGGCCAAUACUGACGCUCAUGCACGAAAGCGUGGGGGAGCAAAACAGGAUUCAGAUACCCUGGUAGUCCACGCCCU
rnacentral:rRNA from 1 species